rnacentral:rRNA from 1 species
ACACAUGCAAGUCGAACGGCAGCACAGUAAGAGCUUGCUCUUAUGGGUGGCGAGUGGCGGACGGGUGAGGAAUACAUCGGAAUCUACUCUUUCGUGGGGGAUAACGUAGGGAAACUUACGCUAAUACCGCAUACGACCUACGGGUGAAAGCGGAGGACCUUCGGGCUUCGCGCGAUUGAAUGAGCCGAUGUCGGAUUAGCUAGUUGGCGGGGUAAAGGCCCACCAAGGCGACGAUCCGUAGCUGGUCUGAGAGGAUGAUCAGCCACACUGGAACUGAGACACGGUCCAGACUCCUACGGGAGGCAGCAGUGGGGAAUAUUGGACAAUGGGCGCAAGCCUGAUCCAGCCAUGCCGCGUGGGUGAAGAAGGCCUUCGGGUUGUAAAGCCCUUUUGUUGGGAAAGAAAAGCAGUCGGUUAAUACCCGAUUGUUCUGACGGUACCCAAAGAAUAAGCACCGGCUAACUUCGUGCCAGCAGCCGCGGUAAUACGAAGGGUGCAAGCGUUACUCGGAAUUACUGGGCGUAAAGCGUGCGUAGGUGGUGGUUUAAGUCUGUUGUGAAAGCCCUGGGCUCAACCUGGGAAUUGCAGUGGAUACUGGGUCACUAGAGUGUGGUAGAGGGUAGCGGAAUUCCCGGUGUAGCAGUGAAAUGCGUAGAGAUCGGGAGGAACAUCCGUGGCGAAGGCGGCUACCUGGACCAACACUGACACUGAGGCACGAAAGCGUGGGGAGCAAACAGGAUUAGAUACCCUGGUAGUCCACGCCCUAAACGAUGCGAACUGGAUGUUGGGUGCAAUUUGGCACGCAGUAUCGAAGCUAACGCGUUAAGUUCGCCGCCUGGGGAGUACGGUCGCAAGACUGAAACUCAAAGGAAUUGACGGGGGCCCGCACAAGGCGGUGGAGUAUGUGGUUUAAUUCGAUGCAACGCGAAGAACCCUUACCUGGUCUUGACAUCCACGGGAACUUUCCAGAGAUGGAUUGGUGCCUUCGGGAACCGUGAGACAGGUGCUGCAUGGCUGUCGUCAGCUCGUGUCGUGAAAUGUUGGGUUAAGUCCCGCAACAAGCGCAACCUUGUUCUUAACUGCCAGCACGUUAAUGGUGGGAACCUCUAAGGAGAACGCCGGUGGACAAACGGCG